AUGAAGACCGUUUCUUCAUUCUCCCUGCUUGUCCUCUGCCUGGCUGCACUGCAGCUGCACGCCAAUGCCUCCCACUCCCAGUCUCAGGAGGCUCAGCUCAAAAACUUCAUCUCGUCUAGGAAGAACAGCGCCAGCAGCACCGACACGUUCCAAGUGCGUAACAUAGCUGACAGGGUUGCCGGCAGCCUGAGUGCGGAGAGCACCGUCUCUGACCAGAGCUCCAUGAAGGCCGCCGACAAGAUCACGGCCUUGCCCGGGCAGCCGGAGGGCGUCGACUUCGACCAGUACGGCGGGUACGUCACCGUCGAUGCAGAGAACGGCCGCGCGCUUUUCUACUACCUCGUCGAAUCGCCUUCCGGUGCCUCGGACAAGCCACUCGUCCUGUGGCUCAACGGAGGGCCAGGAUGCUCGUCGCUGGGAUACGGGGCAAUGCAGGAGCUCGGCCCGUUCCGCGUAACCGAGGACAACAAAACGCUCAGCAGAAACGCGAACGCCUGGAACAACGUGGCUAAUGUGAUCUUCCUCGAGUCGCCUGCUGGUGUGGGAUACUCCUACUCGAACACGUCUUCCGACUAUGAUCUCAGCGGAGACGAGAGAACCGCCGAUGACGCCUACGUGUUUCUCGUGAAAUGGCUGGAGAGGUUCCCGGAGUACAAGGACCGGGCCUUCUAUAUCUCAGGGGAGAGCUAUGCCGGACACUACGUGCCGGAGCUCGCUGCUACCAUCCUACUCCACAACACAUACAACAACAGAACCGUCAUAAACCUUCAGGGCAUCUUGGUGGGAAAUCCGUACCUUGAUGCGAACCGGAAUAUUAAGGGGGUGGUUGACUACUUCUGGACCCACGCGGUGAUGUCGGACGAGGUCUACGCCAAUAUCACCAAGAACUGCGACUUCGAUAACUUGAAUGGUACAUUUACAGAUUCUGCGUGCAGCGGAGCUGCUGUGGCGUUCGACGCUGGCUACAUCGAUGUCUACAACAUAUACGCUCCGGUCUGCAUUGACGCACCCAAUGGAACCCGUUACCCCAGUGGCUACUUACCUGGGUAUGAUCCAUGCGUUUAUUAUCCUACGUAUGCCUACCUCAAUGAUCCAGCGGUGCAGAUGGCUUUCCACGCUAGACCGACAAAGUGGACAGGCUGCGCUGGCGAUUUCGAUUCUGUGUGCCCGCUUCCGGCGACGAGGUAUUCUAUCCAAGACAUGACCCUCUCUGUGACCACUCCAUGGCGCCCAUGGAUAGCAAAGGAGGAGGUUGGAGGAUAUGUUCAGCAGUACGCCGGGGGGUUCACAUUCCUAUCUGUGAGGGGAGCUGGCCAUAUGGUUCCAUCCUUCCAGCCUGAGAGGGCAUUGGUGAUGUUGAGCUCGUUCCUGCAAGGGGUACUCCCACCUUACGUAGAACAGCAAUGA
rnacentral:rRNA from 1 species